CCCAGACAGCCCUCCUGCAGUCAAACGUUUGCACAAUUUCUCUGCACGCUUACUGAGUGGCCCGUGGGUUACUUGGGAUUCGGCUUUUCGGUAGACUUGGCCCUGCCUCAGUGUGGGGGGAGGAGUAGUGACCUCUUGAGAUUCCUUCCAGGCCCAGGUUUCUGGGAUUCUGCUGCAUCACAGAGUCACCCUGUUCCAAAACCAAAUCUGCCCCGUGCACCGGUGUUUGCGCUCAGGGAGAGCAGUGACCCAGAGCUAGGGGUGAGCUGGCAGAGGGAACGGCCCGGGCAGGAGUGUGUUGGUGGCUUUUUCUGCACUAAUGCCCAGCAGCAAAAGCUGAAUUGGAGGAGGUGCCAUGGGCGGCUUUUGUCUGGGACAAGGAUGCGUCUGUCCACACCUCACCCGGUUGUGUCUUCCAGCUGGUGGCCAGACGCCACAGGGGCAGCAGGCUGGCUGAGGAGGCUUAUCUUUAGGGUUCCCUACAUCCCCAUCCAAGGUCCAGGAGAUCAUCUCUGUGACCUGUCCAGGCUAGUGGCCCGAGGGAUAGGCUAGGUCAGGGCCACUCGAAUGUCUGGCAUGGUGGAGCAAAGCCCCUGGGACAGAGACCGCUCUGGGGCCUGAGCAGCCACUUCAACCCUGCUUUGCCUGUUGCUUGGGCUGCCACCCUCCUGCCCCCUUCCUGGUGCUACCCAAGUUGUCUCUUCCUGUGCUUUCAACCAUCUCGAUGCUGAUUCUGUUCCAGCCAAGCAUCCAUUGUCCUGGUUAGGGAAAAUAAUACUCCUUCCACCUGUCGUCUUCAAAUCAGCCAUAUGGCAGCUGUGGUCGGAGAGCCGCCUGCCUUGGGUACAGGGAAGGUGGUUUCUAGAGUCCUGCUGAGCGGUUGCUUGGAGGAGAAGGCGCUACUUUGAAGGGGGCAUCAUGCUUGAGUGUCUGUUGGCGUGAUGGAGCAUCCAUCCCCAUUCUGUCCCAUUGCAUCCACUGAGCUGCCCGUGGGCCCUGCAUUUCCAGAGGGACGCUGACAGAUUUACUUUGAAUGGCGCGAAGAUGAGCUGAGGGGGGGGGAGCCAAGAAUCUCCAUUUAGUGCCAGAUCUUUUUAAAGUCCCUUUGGGAGCCCACCAGCUCAAGCAAAUCUUGUGUCUUUGGGGAGGGAAACACAAAUGUGGGAAAUCAUUUACCCUGUCUGCAUCUUAGCAUUUCUCUUGGCUGGGGGCAGGGAGAAGAGAAAGCACCACCUGGCAACGUUGACUAAGGACAAUACUUCCAUCAACCUGCAUUUAGUUCAUUGCCUAUGGGAAACUGACCUAUUUUCUAGAGAAGACUCAAACUAGUUUAGAAAACGAAGUGCUACUUGAUUCCCCGAUAUAUUUUUAGUACUUGGGGGUAGGGGAAGGGCAAUUGUAGGGGGAAAGCCUGUGGAAGCUGUUUAUUUUUAACCCUUUAGGUUUCUUUUGGCCUUUUAAAAAAAAAAUUGGUCCUGGCUUUUGAUGUUUAUGCUGCCUACCUGUAAAUCCAGAUGUACUUAAGUGGCUGAAAAUCCUUGUUCUUAAAUCAGAUACACAUUAUAGUUUUGAACUAUAUAUAUAGUAUAUAUAUAUAUAUAUGCCUAACCCAGCAAAAAAAUAAAGUAUUUGGGGGUGGGGAAAUGCA
rnacentral:lncRNA from 1 species